rnacentral:snoRNA from 1 species
AUUUGGCUUAGUUAGGAGGCAGAAAUCAAUUCAAAAACCAAAGAUAUCGUUCAGAUAUUUUUGGCCUCAGGCCUUUUGAGGGGACUCUUUGCUUUUCUUUCUUCAUCAAUUGUCCCCCAAGCAGCCUUGGACAUUG